rnacentral:rRNA from 1 species
GCUCAACCGGGGAGGGUCAUUGGAAACUGGGGAACUUGAGUGCAGAAGAGGAGAGUGGAAUUCCACGCGUAGCGGUGAAAUGCGUAGAGAUGUGGAGGAACACCAGUGGCGAAGGCGACUCUCUGGUCUGUAACUGACGCUGAGGCGCGAAAGCGUGGGGAGCGAACAGGAUUAGAUACCCUGGUAGUCCACGCCGUAAACGAUGAGUGCUAAGUGUUAGAGGGUUUCCGCCCUUUAGUGCUGCAGCAAACGCAUUAAGCACUCCGCCUGGGGAGUACGGUCGCAAGACUGAAACUCAAAGGAAUUGACGGGGGCCCGCACAAGCGGUGGAGCAUGUGGUUUAAUUCGAAGCAACGCGAAGAACCUUACCAGGUCUUGACAUCCUCUGACAACCCUAGAGAUAGGGCUUCCCCUUCGGGGGCAGAGUGACAGGUGGUGCAUGGUUGUCGUCAGCUCGUGUCGUGAGAUGUUGGGUUAAGUCCCGCAACGAGCGCAACCCUUGAUCUUAGUUGCCAGCAUUCAGUUGGGCACUCUAAGGUGACUGCCGGUGACAAACCGGAGGAAGGUGGGGAUGACGUCAAAUCAUCAUGCCCCUUAUGACCUGGGCUACACACGUGCUACAAUGGGCAGAACAAAG